GUAGUUUCUAUGGAAAUCUGGGGCAAUUAAGGUUACGAGUUUCUUUGGGGACUUCUUCAUAGCCUUAUUGUCACAGAUGUCUGUGGGAACCAU
rnacentral:pre_miRNA from 1 species